CCUACGGGAGGCAGCAGUGGGGAAUCUUGCGCAAUGGGCGAAAGCCUGACGCAGCCAUGCCGCGUGAAUGAUGAAGGUCUUAGGAUUGUAAAAUUCUUUCACCGGGGACGAUAAUGACGGUACCCGGAGAAGAAGCCCCGGCUAACUUCGUGCCAGCAGCCGCGGUAAUACGAAGGGGGCUAGCGUUGCUCGGAAUUACUGGGCGUAAAGGGAGCGUAGGCGGAUAGUUUAGUCAGAGGUGAAAGCCCAGGGCUCAACCUUGGAAUUGCCUUUGAUACUGGCUAUCUUGAGUACGGAAGAGGUAUGUGGAACUCCGAGUGUAGAGGUGAAAUUCGUAGAUAUUCGGAAGAACACCAGUGGCGAAGGCGACAUACUGGUCCGUUACUGACGCUGAGGCUCGAAAGCGUGGGGAGCAAACAGGAUUAGAUACCCUGGUAGUCCACGCUGUAAACGAUGAGUGCUAGUUGUCGGCAUGCAUGCAUGUCGGUGACGCAGCUAACGCAUUAAGCACUCCGCCUGGGGAGUACGGUCGCAAGAUUAAAACUCAAAGGAAUUGACGGCUGAGACGNGCGAGCGACGACGAGGGAGAG
rnacentral:rRNA from 1 species